AAGAUAUCCUGGGUACAUCUACACAUGCAAUUAAUUUGAAGCAAUAAACCCUGGAGCAGUUUGAGCCGAAGUAAACUACUUCUGGGCACAGAGUCUACGUGUGCACCUGGGAUAGCAGCAAUAUAAGGUGGGGCAGAGCAGUUUAUGACAGGGCUGCUCAGCCCCAGGCUCCAGGUGGCAGUGUUGGGUGGCAGAGAGGCUGCCUGGGUGGGACAUGACAGUGCUGAAAGCAUGGAGCUGUGUGGCUAAGCAACAGGCAGGAGUCUGACCCCUGGUUGGUUGGGCUGACUGAGUAGAAUUAUGCCUGCAGUCAGCGGCUACACAUGCGUUUAAUCACAAUAAGUUACCCUGGUGUAAGGUAGUACUGUCCCGGACAGUACUAUCUUACUGCAGUAUUAAUUAGUUUACUGUGGCCUAAUGCUGUUGCACGUGUAGACACUGAAGCUUUACUCCGUUGCUAAUUAGCGUAUUCUGCAGUUAAGCACAUUUGUUGAUGUGGCUCCUAUCAACCUUACUUCAGAAUUUUCACAAUUUCUAGUGCAUCACUUCAAACUCUUUUCUUUUCCAGUGUGAGUAAACCAAAAUUCCCUUAGUGUUUCCUCUGAAUUUUGUAUUUGCUUUCCUUUCUGUUGCUGUCUUCUGCCUCCUGUGCAAACCAGUUUCCACUUUGGAGCUGACUGUGGUGUGAAAAGUACUAUCAUGAUUAUUUGUAUUAGCUCCUAGAUAUCCUAACUGAAACUGGGAGCCUAUGGUGCCAGGCUUUGCACAAACUUUGAGUCACAGUCCUUGCUGCAAAGAGCUGGCAGUCUAAAGAGAUGUGCCUGACGAAGGGUGGAUGAAAAGAGCUAUUACCCAUUUUUACAGAUGGCAGCCAGAAAAACUAAGUGAUUUGCCCAAGGUCACACAGGAAAUCUGUGGCUGAGGCAAGUACAGAACCCAGAUCUCCUGAGACUGUCUCUUCACCCCAAGAACUGUUAGUCUUUCUCAUUAUCAAAGCCUGCUCCUUCAUGUGUUGAAAAGGGAAUCACUGAGCUACAUUCACCGCUUUGAUGUGCUUGUUUCAUGUUUCCUCCCACAACCCUAUUAACCCAUUUUAACAAGGCACCUUUUCCUGCCUAGUGAAGGAUGAACCCUCAGGCGGUGAAGGGUCACAUUCCUGACUUCUCUGCUAUGCUCCUCCAAGCUUCAGUGCUCAGAGAUGUGGGGGAAAAGGAGGGGUGGCCAAGGCAUCUUUGCAUCUGAACAAUACUAAAACCUGGGAGCCUGCAGGCAGCUAGAGCAAAAUUCAUCAGCCUUUGUGAUGUUACACCAACAAGUGCACAGGAACCUGGACAUAAAUCCGACCCUGACCUGAGUAAGGCACCUAGACUGCAUGCCCAAAGAAAUGGACUUGUUCAGCUGCAACUGCAAAAACAGAGGUCCGUGUUAACAGUCUGGCCCUUAAUAUGUGGGUGAUGGGAUGGGACGUUUGUUCUUUUCUGCAGAACCAUACUUUACACUGUAUGGGAUGGCACUCAGGGCCAGGCACUUUAUAGCCAUGGAUACGGAUCACGUUAUUCAUUUCACACCAUGUGUAAUGUUAUGGUGCCAAUGUUGUUUCAUUUUAACAAGUACUGUUGGGAAUGAAAUACUGACUUAGGAACAGCACGAGAAUGGGCAAACCACAAAUGCUCAGUUGCUCCUGGACCUCUCUCUCAAUCCUCCUAGCGGAGGCUUGGUUUGCUUAGCAAUUCAAGGAGGAAACUCCUCUCUCAGUGAAUCAACUCUUAUUUAUGUCCUUAUUCAAGCUGAGCCAUGGUUGCCAGGGGAACCAGUAGCUACUUGUAAUUACUCAGCAUCUUCUGGGGGAUCCUUCUGAAGGGCAGUGCCGAAUAGGGAGCAUCCUUUCCUUGCUUUAAGAAAGGUGAUUUAUGGUGAUCCUGGAUUAUAUACUGCAUAGUUCAGGUCCAGCUGCUUUUGCAAGAGCCUUUUAUGAAGAUUAGCGUGGGUGGAGGUUUUGCAAGUUUUUCUUUGUUAGUAGGUUAGGACCUCUGCCUCAAAUUGACAUUAAAAACAAAACUGAAUAUGUUGGUACUUCUCUACCUCAGUGAAAUGAGUAGUAUUCAAUCUGAGAUGGCAGGAAGGAUGAUCCUUUGGUUUAAGAGAAGGCUGAGGAAUGAUGAGAUAUGAGCCUAUUCAAGGUUUCCUACAUGAGCCUGACACAUUUUCUCUACUUCUGUUUCCACAUCUGUAAAAUGGUGAUAAUACUGAAGUGUGUUGGCUAGUGGUCUGGGCUUUUGAAACAGACGGAUUUGAGCUUAAAUACAACCAUGACUGAUAUAAGACUUGGAUAUUUCAGCUGCUGCCUUCCUUUCCUGGGAACAAGGUCUGGCACACCUGAUCUGUCUGACCUUUGGGUAAAGGGCAGCAUGACCCACCACAAACAAUCAGUAGUAAAUUAAAAGCAAAUGUUGUUUUUAAAACUCAGUCACCUUUUUGUCUCUUUCAGACACUGAUUUCAAUACAAGUCCAGCAGUAUAAAAUGGGUAUUGUGGCAUGGUGAACUGAGCCCCAGAUUUUUCUUUUUUUUUUUCUUCUGUUUCAAGGUACAGCUAUCAACUCUAUAAAAAUGCUGCUGCCAUGUUAGCUUGGCUCUUAUAGAAAAAAUAUCUAGCCCAGGGGUGGCCCACCAGUGGCAUAUGUGCCACAUGCACACAACCCCAGGGAGAAAACAGGCAGCACAGCAGCAGGCAGGGCAGGAGAUAGAAAGCAGAGCAAGAGAUCAGGCAGGGAGUAAAGGGCAGGGAGCAGAAAGCAGAACAGGAGAUUGGGUAGGAGAAGGGGUUUGGAGAGACGUUUGGGGAGGGUAUGGAGCUAAUUUGUGGCGUACCUGCCAAAAAGGUUGCCCCUCCAUUGAUCUAGCCUAACAACAGCAGCAGUAGAGAGGUAGACAGAGGACAGAAGCUUAAUCUAGGCUCCCCUCUCCCCAUGGCUGAUCAUCACCCAACAGCAGACAGACUGUUGGAGGCAGAGAGCAAGAGAGACCUACCCACCUGACACCCAGACUGGCACAAGACUUGAAAGAAGAGUGAAAUGGAGAUGUAAUGUAUGGGUUGCCUGACUAGAAGAACAAAGAAGAGAUCAGUUUAAUCGGAGACCAGUUUUCAGUCAUCUCAGAAAGGUUUUUAAACUGCUGCUAGAAGAGCAAAAAGCUGAAACAAAACACACAGCUUUGAAAAUAUCAGGAAAGCUUUGUCUCUGCUUACCGUAUACAGUGCCUGGAGCGUUAUAUGAUCCAACAGUAAGAAUAAACACAAAAAUCUGAGCACCCUGAAUUCACUGUCUCUCAGAUCUCAGUCAGUGGCUGUAGCAUACGUGAGAGUGACAAGUUCCCUAUGAGCACUGAUCCAGUAGAAGAACAAUGUCCUACUUUCACUCCCCCCCCUGUCAAAACUCACUUAGAGUACUAGGACAUUCUAAUCCAGGGAACAGUCAACUGCAAUCUGAUGUUUAUAGACGUAAUAAAAGACUUUUAA